GGCUGGAUGGUGUAGUUGGUUAUCACGUAUCGCUCACACAACUGGCUUGAACAAGCGAAAGCUUAAUCAGCUAUGUAUGUGCCGAUAAGGUCCUGGGAUCGAACCCCAGUCUAGUCA